rnacentral:rRNA from 1 species
CUGCUGCCUUCCGUAGGAGUCUGGUCCGUGUCUCAGUACCAGUGUGGGGGGCCUUCCUCUCAGAACCCCUACGCAUCGUCGCCUCGGUGGGCCGUUACCCCGCCGACUAACUAAUGCGACGCAUGCCCAUCCGCCACCGGAAUUAACCUUUGGCACCAACAGGAUGUCCCGUCGAUGCAUUAUGCCGUAUUAGACGGAAUUUCUCCCGAUUAUCCGGCUGUGGCAGGCAGGUUGCAUACGUGUUACUCACCCGUGCGCCGG